GAGGGGCAGCAGGAUCUAGCAAUAGAUUGCUGGCGACCGGCGCACGGGUGAGUAACACGUAUCCAACCUGCCGAUAACUCGGGGAUAGCCUUUCGAAAGAAAGAUUAAUACCCGAUGGUAUAAUCAGACCGCAUGGUCUUGUUAUUAAAGAAUUUCGGUUAUCGAUGGGGAUGCGUUCCAUUAGGCAGUUGGUGAGGUAACGGCUCACCAAACCUUCGAUGGAUAGGGGUUCUGAGAGGAAGGUCCCCCACAUUGGAACUGAGACACGGUCCAAACUCCUACGGGAGGCAGCAGUGAGGAAUAUUGGUCAAUGGACGAGAGUCUGAACCAGCCAAGUAGCGUGAAGGAUGACUGCCCUAUGGGUUGUAAACUUCUUUUAUAUGGGAAUAAAGUUUUCCACGUGUGGAAUUUUGUAUGUACCAUAUGAAUAAGGAUCGGCUAACUCCGUGCCAGCAGCCGCGGUAAUACGGAGGAUCCGAGCGUUAUCCGGAUUUAUUGGGUUUAAAGGGAGCGUAGGUGGACAGUUAAGUCAGUUGUGAAAGUUUGCGGCUCAACCGUAAAAUUGCAGUUGAUACUGGCUGUCUUGAGUACAGUAGAGGUGGGCGGAAUUCGUGGUGUAGCGGUGAAAUGCUUAGAUAUCACGAAGAACUCCGAUUGCGAAGGCAGCUCACUGGACUGCAACUGACACUGAUGCUCGAAAGUGUGGGUAUCAAACAGGAUUAGAUACCCUGGUAGUCCACACAGUAAACGAUG
rnacentral:rRNA from 1 species